CCUACGGGUGGCAGCAGUGGGGGAUAUUGCACAAUGGGGGAAACCCUGAUGCAGCGACGCCGCGUGGGCGAAGAAGUAUUUCGGUAUGUAAAGCCCUAUCAGCAGGGAAGAAGAAAUGACGGUAUCAGAGUAAGGAGCACCGGCUAAAUACGUGCCAGCAGCCGCGGUAACACGGAGGGUGCAAGCGUUAUCCGGAAUUACUGGGUGUAAAGGGAGCGCAGGCGGCACGGCAAGCCUGAUGUGAAAGCCCGCGGCUCAACCGUGGGACUGCAUUGGAAACUGACGGGCUGGAGUGCCGGAGAGGUAGGCGGAAUUCCUAGUGUAGCGGUGAAAUGCGUAGAUAUUAAGAGGAACACCAGUGGCGAAGGCGGCCUACUGGACGGUGACUGACGCUGAGGCUCGAAAGCGUGGGGAGCAAACAGGAUUAGAUACCCUGGUAGUC
rnacentral:rRNA from 1 species